rnacentral:misc_RNA from 1 species
UCCCGGUUGGCCCGGGCAGUCUCAUGUGAAAAAUUCAACACACGACAAGGGUUGCGCUCGUUGCGGGACUUAACCCAACAUCUCACGACACGAGCUGACGACGGCCAUGCAGCACCUGUCACCUGGCUCCCGAAGGCACAGCACUGUUUCCAGCGCCUUCCAGGGAUGUCAAGCCUCGGUAAGGUUCUUCGCGUAUCGUCGAAUUAAACCCCAUGCUCCACCGCUUGUGCGGGUCCCCGUCAAUUCCUUUGAGUUUCAACCUUGCGGUCGUACUCCCCAGGCGGGGUACUUCCUGCGUUAGCGCCGGCACCCAGAGGGUCGCUCCCCCAGGCACCUAGUACCCAUCGUUUACGGCGUGGACUAC